UUACGCUGUUAUCCCUAAGGUAAUUUAGACUUAUAAUCAUUAAUAAUGGAUCAAAUAAAUAUAAAUCAAUAUACAACAAAAGAAAGAGUUAAUUUUAUCUUCCCAUCACCCCAACAAAAUAAUUAAAAACAUAAAAUAAUUUAUCAAACCAAAAAUAAAUCAAUAAUUAUUAAACUCUAUAGGGUCUUCUCGUCCCAUAAAAACAUUUAAGCUUUUUUACUUAAUAAUUAAAUUCAACAUAAAAAAAUAAGACAGUAUAUAUCUCGUCCAACCUUUCAUUCCAGCCUUCAAUUAAAAGACUAAUGAUUAUGCUACCUUUGCACGGUCAAAUUACCGCGGCCCUUCAAUAAUAAUCAGUGGGCAGGUUAUACUUCUCAUAUAAACAGAAGAGAUGUUUUUGUUAAACAGGCG
rnacentral:rRNA from 1 species